AGACGAGAGGAAUUGUGAUCUGCCCUUUUGCGCCGAGCUUGCGGAAUUGCUGAGUGAGAGAAUUGAAUUGUGUCGGCCACUUAAGGUCCUUUAAAUAGGAUUAGGGAGGCUGAUUUUAGGUCUUGAAUUGCUGAGCUGUCCAUGUGCACGAGCGUCCCAUAGCUGUGAGUUUCCCAUAUGCGCGUGCUUGGUUCUUUGCGCGGAAUGGGGCUGUCCGUGUGUGUGAGUUGAGGAAGUGUGCUGGUCCAUGUUUGUGAAUGGGCUGGAGUUGAAGUGCUGGCCACAUGUGUUUGUGAAUGGGCUGGAGUUGAAGUGCUGGCCACAUGUGUUU
rnacentral:lncRNA from 1 species